rnacentral:rRNA from 1 species
GAUGAACGCUGGCGGCGUGCUAAACCCAGGCAAGUCGAACGAACAAUUUGGAACGGUUUCCUUCGGUUGAAGGUUCUUUUUGACUGGGUGCCGACGGGUGAGUUACCGCGGGGGAACCCGGCCUUUUCCUGGGGGAUGGCACCUGGAAACGGCGGGUAAUCCGCAAAAAGGCCCAAUGGUGCAUUACAAUGGGUGAAAAACUCCGGUGGUAUAAGAUGGACCCGCGUCUGAUUAGCUAGUUGGUGAGAUAACAGCCCACCAAGGCGACGAUCAGUAGCCGACCUGAGAGGGUGACCGGCCACAUUGGGACUGAGACACGGCCCAGACUCCUACGGGAGGCAGCAGUGGGGAAUAUUGCACAAUGGAGGAAACUCUGAUGCAGCGACGCCGCGUGAGUGAAGAAGUAAUUCGUUAUGUAAAGCUCUAUCAGCAGGGAAGAUAGUGACGGUACCUGACGAAGAAGCUCCGGCUAAAUACGUG